UACGGAGGAUCCAAGCGUUAUCCGGAAUCAUUGGGUUUAAAGGGUCCGUAGGCGGUUUACUCAGUCAGUGGUGAAAGCCCAUCGCUCAACGGUGGAACGGCCAUUGAUACUGUUAAACUUGAAUUAUUAGGAAGUAACUAGAAUAUGUAGUGUAGCGGUGAAAUGCUUAGAGAUUACAUGGAAUACCAAUUGCGAAGGCAGGUUACUACUAAUGGAUUGACGCUGAUGGACGAAAGCGUGGGUAGCGAACAGG
rnacentral:rRNA from 1 species